rnacentral:misc_RNA from 1 species
GGAAAUGGCCCAGAAAUGACCGACACCCGACAGGGAAGGCUAAUGCAAGUAUUGUCCCACAACUGUGGCAACCUGCAAGUGGGACACUGAUGACAAAUGAUACUAAUGACACAAAUCCUGAAGAGGUUGUUCCGUGUUUUGCACUCUCAAAGAAUGACUCCUACGUCAUGUCAGCUUCUGGAGGGAAAAUAUCAUUGUUCAAUAUGAUGACUUUUAAGACUAUGACAACAUUUAUGCCCGCCCCACCCGCAGCAACCUUUUUGGCAUUUCAUCCUCAAGAUAACAAUGUUAUUGCCAUAGGAAUGGAUGACUCCUCCAUCCAGAUAUAUAAUGUCCGAGUUGACGAGGUAAAGACAAAGCUCAAAGGACAUCAGAAAAGAAUAACUGGGCUUGCCUUUUCGAAUUCUCUCAACGUGCUUAUAUCUGCAGGAGCAGAUUCUCAGCUGUGUGUUUGGAGCAGUGAUACUUGGGAGAAGCAAACAAGCAAAUACUUGCAGAUUCCUGCUGGGCGUGCGGCUGCUCCUCAAGCAGAUACUCGUGUACAAUUUCACCAGGAUCAGACACAAUUGUUGGUAGUGCACGAAACACAGAUAGCCAUAUUUGAAGCUCCUAAACUGGAGUGCCUCAAACAGUGGGUACCUAGAGAAGUAACUGGGCCAAUUACACAUGCAACAUAUUCUUGUGAUAGCCAGUCUAUAUUUGUUAGUUUCGAAGAUGCAAGUGUAGGUGUUCUCAGUGCUUAUACACUGCGUUGGAGAUGUCGGAUCAAUCCUACUUCGUACCUUCCCGCUAAUCCAAGUGCAAGGGUGCAUCCACUUGUUAUCGCUGCACAUCCAUCUGACCCGAAUCAGUUUGCAUUGGGACUCAACGAUGGUGCUGUAAUUGUACUUGAGCCGCUUGAGGCUGAAGGUAAAUGGGGAAUGUUGCCCCCAGCUGAUAAUGGUAAUGGGCCAAGCACUUCAGGUGCUGCAAAUUCAGAUCAACCUCAAAGGUAGUUUACCUGAUGCAGAUGCUGGCAGUUUUCGUUGAAAAAGACGAGUGUAUGAGCUGCAUCGUGUUGUUUUUCAACGUCCCUCCAUUAAAAUUAUCUUGGAAGGGGAGAAGCCUUCUAGAUUAGCCAGUGUAGUUAAUAGAAAGCUGAAUUUAGAUAUGUAGAGUUUGUUUAGUAGGGUUACAUCAGUUCACCGAUAAUGUUCGUGCACAUGUAAAUGUAGUAGUAGAGGAGAGGGUAUCUUGGCAUCAGUAAUCUGGAAAUCCUAAUUAUAGUUGGAGAUAUGAACAAUUGCUUU